AGUGAACGCUGGCGGCGUGCCUAAUACAUGCAAGUCGAACGGCGUGGCGCACGGGUGAGUAAUAUAUAGCUAAUCUGCCCCUUUCUGUAGGACAAACGUUUGAAAUGACUGCUAAUACUCCAUAGCCAGGGAUGAGACUCUAUCGUAUCAGCUAGUCUGUGGGGUAACGGCCUACCGAGGCUAUGACGCAUAACUGGUCUGAGAGGAUGAUCAGACACAAUGGAACUGAGACACGGUCCAAACUCCUACGGGGGGCAGCAGUAGGGGAUAGUGCGCAAGGGGUGAAGCACUGACGCAGCAACGCCGCGUGGAGGAUGACACUUUUCGGAGCGUAAACGCCUUUGUUAGGGAAGCGGUACCUAACGAAAAAGCACCGGCUAACUCCGUGACAGCAGCCGCGGUAAUAC
rnacentral:rRNA from 1 species